GAGGAUAUAGCUCAGUGGUAGCGUGCAUGCUUAGCAUGCAUGAAGCUCUGGGUUCAAUCCUCAGCACCUCCA
rnacentral:tRNA from 1 species